UGUAUAAAUCUACCUUUAACUUAUUUAACGCAUAACAUGCUAUCAUUUUUUUAUUAUGAACCAUUCAAUCAAAAAAACUUUGCAGAUAAAGAAAUUGACAUAUGCAAACAAAAUACACUGAACCACCGUUUUGCACUCAUUCUUUACUUUCUGUAUCUGAUUUGUGAACGCGUGAACAAAAAAUAAACAUUGAUAUGGCUCUCACGUGAAGAAGGAUAAUAAUACAGAUAAAAAAUGAAAGAGGGGAGACGAAAUCAUAGCGAAGAAGUGAAAUACAUAGAAACGGAAGCAUGGAUAUGUUUGCCAUUUGACGAUUGGAACUCGAGAGUAAAUGCAGAUUACUCGGCCUGUCUCCAUGCACUUGUAUGUACUACGCACGAAUUUGAUCUUGCACUGAACCUUUAUCCGUCUAUUUACGGUUCAUACUAAAGUAUGGCUUACUCGGAACCUAAAACUCCACAUAUUCCAGAAACAUGAGAUAUCUCUGCUGUCUUUGUAUUACUGUUAUCUUAACAUUCUUCUGUAAGCAAACUCGCGCUAAUAUAUUUAAUCACCGAAUCUUUAAAUCCAACUUAUCGUACCAUCGCACGUACACAUUCGCAUUCUUUUGAUUAUAUUCUGGCUAAAUAAAAGUUUAUCAUACUUCUGAGAUUAAGGUUUACAGAAUAUUUUAAAUGAGAGACAUAAACAAAUACAUUCUUUCCGUAAAAACAAAUUUAA